UGAAGGCCCUCUUUCUUCAUUUCUAUCAAAUCCCUAAUUCCCUUUUUACUCGAUCGAUUAGGGUUUUUUUUCCUCCAAUUUCCUUCCACCUUUCUUCGUCUCUCUGAUUACUUUCCAAUUUCGUGACAUGCAGCACAAAAUUUAUUAAAAGUAUAAGCAUGUCAAAGAUUUGAAAUAAAGUAUUUUUAUUUGCGUACCAGAUGCUGGCGUUUAUUGUGGCUUUCUGCAUUAAGAUUUGAUUGUGAUUGAAAUCCACUCCCCAGCAACCAACAUUGAAGGCUAUGCUUAAAUUCAUUCACAGUGGGGAACUCAG
rnacentral:lncRNA from 1 species